rnacentral:rRNA from 1 species
UCGAGGAUCUUUCGCAAUGGGCGCAAGCCUGACGGAGCGACGCCGUGUGAGCGAAGAAGGCCUUCGGGUUGUAAAGCUCUUUCGCUUGGGAAUAAGGGAGGCCGGCAAACAACCGGCUGACUUGAAGGUACCAGGUAAAGAAGUACUGGCUAACUCCGUGCCAGCAGCUGCGGUAAUACGGAGGGUACAAGCAUUAAUCGGAAUUACUGGGCGUAAAGGGCGCGUAGGCGGGAUGGGAAGUCAGAUGUGAAAUACCGGGGCUCAACUUCGGUGCUGCAUCUGAGACUCCUGUUCUGGAGGGUCAGCGGAGAAAAUGGAAUUCCACGUGUAGCGGUGAAAUGCGUAGAUAUGUGGAGGAACACCUGUGGCGAAAGCGGUUUUCUAGCUGAUUUCUGACGCUGAGGCGCGAAAGCAAGGGGAGCAAACAGGAUUAGAUACCCCUGUAGUCC